rnacentral:rRNA from 1 species
GUUGAACGCUGGCGGCAUGCCUUACACAUGCAAGUCGAACGGUAAGGCCCUUCGGGGUACACGAGUGGCGAACGGGUGAGUAACACGUGGGUGAUCUGCCCUGCACUUCGGGAUAAGCCUGGGAAACUGGGUCUAAUACCGGAUAGGACCACUGCCUGCAUGGGUGGGGGUGGAAAGCUUUUGCGGUGUGGGAUGGGCCCGCGGCCUAUCAGCUUGUUGGUGGGGUGAUGGCCUACCAAGGCGACGACGGGUAGCCGGCCUGAGAGGGUGACCGGCCACACUGGGACUGAGAUACGGCCCAGACUCCUACGGGAGGCAGCAGUGGGGAAUAUUGCACAAUGGGCGCAAGCCUGAUGCAGCGACGCCGCGUGAGGGAUGACGGCCUUCGGGUUGUAAACCUCUUUCAGCACCGACGAAGCGCAAGUGACGGUAGGUGCAGAAGAAGGACCGGCCUACUACGUGCCAGCCGCCGCGGUAA